GCAUAACGCGAAGAACCUUACCAGGCCUUGACAUGCAGAGAACUUUCCAGAGAUGGAUUGGGUGCCUUCGGGGAACGUCUGACACAGGUGCUGCAUGGCUGUCGUCAGCUCGUGUCGUGAGAUGUUGGGUUAAGUCCCGUAACGAGCGCAACCCUGUCCUUAGUUACCAGCACGUCAUGGUGGGCACUCUAAGGAGACUGCCGGUGACAAACCGGAGGAAGGUGGGGAGUGACGUCAAGUCAUCAUGGCCCUUACGGCCUGGGCUACACACGUGCUACAAUGGUCGGUACAGAGGGUUGCCAAGCCGCGAGGUGGAGCUAAUCUCACAAGACCGAUCGUAGUCCGGAUCGCAGUCUG
rnacentral:rRNA from 1 species